GCGAAUAUAGCUCAGUUAGGUUAGAGUAUUAGAUUGUGAUUCUAAACGUCAUGGGUUCAAAUCCCAUUGUUCGCC
rnacentral:tRNA from 1 species